AUUGAACGCUGGCGGCAGGCCUAACACAUGCAAGUCGAGCGGAGCGGCGGACGGGGGAGUAAUGCCUAGGAAUCUGCCUGGUAGUGGGGGAUAACGUCCGGAAACGGGCGCUAAUACCGCAUACUAUCAGAUGAGCCUAGGUCGGAUUAGCUAGUUGGUGGGGUAAAGGCCCACCAAGGCGACGAUCCGUAACUGGUCUGAGAGGAUGAUCAGGCACACUGGGACUGUGACACGGUCCAGACUCCUACGCGAGGCGGCGUUGGGGAAUAUUGUGCACUGGGCGCAAGCCUGUGCCAGCCAUGCCGCGUGUGUGAAGAAGGUCUUCGGAUUGUAAAGCACUUUAAGUUGGGAGGCGUUACCAACAGAAUAAGCACCGGCUAACUUCGUGCCAGCCGCCGCGGUAAUAC
rnacentral:rRNA from 1 species